rnacentral:lncRNA from 1 species
GUCAGAAGAAACCAAGUAUUCAUGCUGUAGCUCUGUCAUCUCCACCAAUGGUUAUAAUGUAAAGGUUUUAGGACAACAUACAGAAAUUAACGGGACAAAAAAUGCAGAGAACUAUAAACAAGAGAGGCAUAUGCCAGCUUCACAGAACAGAUCAGAGCAAAGAAUGGAGAUGAAAAAGAAAGGAUUCUUGGAAUACUUGAAAGGUGGUCUCUUUUCACUGUUCCUUCAACAAAAUUGAAGGCAAUGAUCAAGCCUCUUGAGUUCCUUUUAU